AAUUUCUUAACUAAAUGUUAAGUAGGUAUCUUGAAAAUAUUAAAAAGAAGUUUGAUUCUUCUAGAAAUUU
rnacentral:tRNA from 1 species